rnacentral:rRNA from 1 species
UACGUAGGGGGCUAGCGUUGUCCGGAAUCAUUGGGCGUAAAGCGCGUGUAGGCGGCCCGGUAAGUCCGCUGUGAAAGUCGGGGGCUCAACCCUCGGAUGCCGGUGGAUACUGCCGGGCUAGAGGGUGGUAGAGGCGAGUGGAAUUCCCGGUGUAGCGGUGAAAUGCGCAGAUAUCGGGAGGAACACCAGUAGCGAAGGCGGCUCGCUGGGCCAUUCCUGACGCUGAGACGCGAAAGCUAGGGGAGCGAACAGG